rnacentral:lncRNA from 1 species
AUGGGCCUACUGAUUUCGCCUCCAAGGUCGUUGAUUCCUGCCCGGUUUUCAACAAGCUGGUUUUCUUUGAUGUACUGGGUUUAUGUUGGUUGUGGAUAGUUGUUUAAUGGUAAUUGGGAUGUGUGGGAUAUGUGAACUGAUGGUAGUUGAGGAGGUGCAGAUGUGCAGUUGAGGAGGUGCAAGAGUAGAGAGAGCAUGUUGGAGACGACGGAGAUGAGGUCGGAGGUGUGAUAAAUUAGGUACAACUGGACAGAGAGCAGGAGGUCAAAUGGGAGGGAGAGCAAGUCGAAUUGGAGAAAGCGGAGGUCGAAUUAGAGAGGGAUGAGGUUGAAUUAG